AGUGAACGCUGGCGGUAGGCCUAACACAUGCAAGUCGAACGGCAGCACAGUAAGAGCUUGCUCUUACGGGUGGCGAGUGGCGGACGGGUGAGGAAUACAUCGGAAUCUACUUUUUCGUGGGGGAUAACGUAGGGAAACUUACGCUAAUACCGCAUACGACCUACGGGUGAAAGCAGGGGAUCUUCGGACCUUGCGCGAUUGAAUGAGCCGAUGUCGGAUUAGCUAGUUGGCGGGGUAAAGGCCCACCAAGGCGACGAUCCGUAGCUGGUCUGAGAGGAUGAUCAGCCCACUUGGAAAUGAGAAACGGCCCAACCCCCCAGGGGGGGCAGGAGGGGGGAAUUUUGGAAAAGGGGGGCAACCCUGUCCCAGCCAACCCGGGUGGGGGAAGAAGGCCUUCGGGUUUUAAAGCCCUUUUUUUGGGAAAAAAAAGCAGCAGGUUAAUACCCCGCUGUUCUGACGGUACCCAAAGAAAAAGCACCGGCUAACUUCGU
rnacentral:rRNA from 1 species